rnacentral:rRNA from 1 species
UACGGGGGUGGCAAGCGUUGUUCGGAAUUACUGGGCGUAAAGCGUGCGCAGGCGGCGCGUUAAGACAGGUGUGAAAGCCCCGAGCUUAACUUGGGAAUUGCGCUUGUGACUGGCGUGCUGGAGUGUGGCAGAGGGAGGUGGAAUUCCACGUGUAGCAGUGAAAUGCGUAGAGAUGUGGAGGAACACCGAUGGCGAAGGCAGCCUCCUGGGCCAGCACUGACGCUCAUGCACGAAAGCGUGGGGAGCAAACAGG